rnacentral:lncRNA from 1 species
GGAGAACUUUCUAGAGAAGCGGUUAAACGGGUUGAGGCUCUUGGACUGAGGGUACUGGAGUGGUUUGGUUUUUUUGUUUGUUUGUGUCGUUUUUGUUAAGAUUUGCUUUUCUGGUUGAUGGCCCCUAGGAGUGCCCUCCUCCUACACCAGGACCUCUGGGAUCACAAUCUUCCCUAUGUCGUUCCGCCCCACCCCCACCCUUACCCCACCCCUCUGCCCGCGUCUAAGCGAUUUUUCCAGAUCCUUCUCUAUCCUCAGGACUCCAAGUGGCGAGCCUCCCAAGUCCGGGCCUGCCUCGUGGCCGGCCCUGCUCACCCAGGCCCACAGCGGAAUAGCUGGAGACAGGCAGUCAGAUGUGAAGUGGCAAAGAUCGGCCUCCCGUGAUUGUGCCACAGAUGCCCAUGGUUCCAGGCGUGGGCACCUGAGCAGUGUGGGAAAGAGAGGUCGAGGGAUUGAAAGUGUGGGCCCCGUAGGGACAGUUUCAGCCCAGGUGCACAGAUCGGACACAACUUUGCCCUCCCUGCAGCCUGGCAGGCCCACCGCAAAAAUGCCAUGAGCAGAUUUAUAAGAGCCAUAGACUUGUAAGUGGAGGUGAAUAGGAAGGAAGGUUUUCUCAACCUGCUCGCUGCUCCUAUGAGAUGCCUGUGGAGUUCUGAGUCUGUGUGGCUAAAACCAUGAAGUUCUGAUUACCGGAACAGUGCUGGCUUGAUGGAAGAUCUGUCUGGAGAGGUCCUGACUCUGCCCAGCAGUUUAGUACCCAGUUAUACAGCCUGGGUCUCUCCACAGACCUGAGUGGAGGAGAAGCCCCCGUGGGAGUUUUGUUGCUUGCUGAUCCACUUCACAAUCUUGGAUGCUGUGGACAGGUCUGAUGAAGACAGGUCCCGUGUGGGCCGGGAAGACUCAGAGGUUAGAUAGGCGAGAAGCACGAGCGAUUACCUGAAAAAUGCUGUGUGCAUCAUUAUCGCCCAGAGAGUGCUUUGGCGUGUACACGAUCCCAUUGUGAGUGAUGUCUUCUCCGCUGAUGCAGUUCUCAUGGUCUUUGUACACUGGGACACCAAAGAAGGCACCCUGGACAGUCUUUCCUGGCAGCAAAUUGUAGAUCUGUGCAUUGGAGGAGAACAAAGGGCUGGACCUGGAGGCAAGAUGCAGAGGCUAACCAUAAAACCCGUGAGGCAUUCUCGAAGCCUGUACAUGAGGACGCUUCUCUGGAAACACAAAGGCAUUUUAAAGACAUGUUUGAGAAGAAACUGUUCUUGCCCACUCUUGAGACCAGUAAAGUGUCUGAUUUCAGGGAAAGCACAAAAGACCUAGCAUCUUACACAAUCACCUUGAGUUGUGGCCGGCUAGCAAAUGGACCAGACGAAAUUUAACUUCUCUAAAACGUAUUGUAGCAAAACUAACCCAUCCUAUUUGUGUGUUAUCAUUCGUAAAAUGAAGUGAUAAGACAGACCCC